rnacentral:hammerhead_ribozyme from 1 species
AUCCGGUUGACGAGUCUCAUAUAGGACGAAAUAUACAUCCUAGAU